CGAAUAGAUGAACAACGAAGACUUAUUCUUCUUUACAGACAUUAAGGCAGAGUUCAUCAAGUCAGAAAGAGGCACCUGUCUCCUCAUGAUAGAGGGCUUCACGUUUUCCAGGGGCAACAAACUUUACAAAUGGUGGAACUGCUCCAGCAAGAAUACUAGAAACUGCAAAGCCAAGCGGGCGGCGAGGUAUCUUACCUACUAUUCACACCGGCCACAAGUAAGCACCAAUUGAUAAUGCUCCAAGACCACACCUUCCGGCAGACUACCAAGGACAGUCGCUACUGGAGCUGCAGCCGGCGCACCAUCACCAGAUGCCAGGCCAGGAUCAGGUUCAACGAGGCCAAGGAGAUCUCUUUCCUUAACCUCAGCCAUAACCAUCCUCCUCCCAAAUACAAGCCCUCUCAAGAUGGGAAGUUGGUUAGAUUGUAAUAUUGCAAGACCUCUCACCCACC